GGGAUUGCCUUAGUAACGGCGAGUGAAGCGGCAAAAGCUCAAAUUUGAAAUCUGGUACCUUCGGUGCCCGAGUUGUAAUUUGGAGAGGGCAACUUUGGGGCCGUUCCUUGUCUAUGUUCCUUGGAACAGGACGUCAUAGAGGGUGAGAAUCCCGUGUGGCGAGGAGUGCGGUUCUUUGUAAAGUGCCUUCGAAGAGUCGAGUUGUUUGGGAAUGCAGCUCUAAGUGGGUGGUAAAUUCCAUCUAAAGCUAAAUAUUGGCGAGAGACCGAUAGCGAACAAGUACAGUGAUGGAAAGAUGAAAAGAACUUUGAAAAGAGAGUGAAAAAGUACGUGAAAUUGUUGAAAGGGAAGGGCAUUUGAUCAGACAUGGUGUUUUGUGCCCUCUGCUCCUUGUGGGUAGGGGAAUCUCGCAUUUCACUGGGCCAGCAUCAGUUUUGGUGGCAGGAUAAAUCCAUAGGAAUGUAGCUUGCCUCGGUAAGUAUUAUAGCCUGUGGGAAUACUGCCAGCUGGGACUGAGGACUGCGACGUAAGUCAAGGAUGCUGGCAUAAUGGUUAUAUGCCGCC
rnacentral:rRNA from 1 species